GCCAGUAGCCAUAUCACUCUGCAACUCAGAACUGGCAACCCACUGAAGCUAAGCAGGUGUGAGCCUGGGCAGUACCUGGAUGGGAGACCUCCUGGGAAAAACUAAGGUUACUGCUGGAA
ensembl:rRNA 5S_rRNA 5S ribosomal RNA